GAUGAACGCUGGCGGCGUGCCUAAUACAUGCAAGUCGAGCGAACAGACGAGGAGCUUGCUCCUCUGACGUUAGCGGCGGACGGGUGAGUAACACGUGGAUAACCUACCUAUAAGACUGGGAUAACUUCGGGAAACCGGAGCUAAUACCGGAUAAUAUAUUGAACCGCAUGGUUCAAUAGUGAAAGACGGUUUUGCUGUCACUUAUAGAUGGAUCCGCGCCGCAUUAGCUAGUUGGUAAGGUAACGGCUUACCAAGGCAACGAUGCGUAGCCGACCUGAGAGAGUGAUCGGCCACACUGGAACGGAGACACGGUCCAGACUCCUACGGGAGGCAGCAGUAGGGAAUCUUCCGCAAUGGGCGAAAGCUUGACGGAGCAACGCCGCGUGAGUGAUGAAGGUCUUCGGAUCGUAAAACUCUGUUAUUAGGGAAGAACAAAUGUGUAAGUAACUAUGCACGUCUUGACGGUACCUAAUCAGAAAGCCACGGCUAACUACGUG
rnacentral:rRNA from 1 species